AGAUGGAUAGGGAAUGGAUACUUAAGCAAGACAAAUUCAGUGAAGAGUAUAAAGAAGGGUUUAGAUCUUUUAUGGAGGUUGCAAAACAUCAUGUGAAUGAGAGGAAUGAGACAAUAUGUCCCUGCAUGGAGUGCUUGAAUAAACGUUGGUAGCCUCUUCAUGCUACUAAUGCUCAAAACAGAGAUCAACAGGAAAGUACCCAUCGGGGUGGUGCACCAUUUAUUCAGCAUGCUUUGCAAGCAGCAAAGGAAGGUGGUAAGCCUGUAUCAUUUAUAGACAAUUAUGAAAACAUGUAUCAGGAUGCAGAGCAUAAGUGGGUUAGUGAGGCUAAACGAGUGAGACAUGAGAAAAUGAAGCAGAAGAGGGAAGAUGUCAAGGCAAAGUUCAUUGAAGAGGCACCAGAAGGUACUCUUAUUGAAUCAAUAGAAGUGGCUUUGAAUGACGAGAUUGCAAUUAUGGUUUAGGAGUGUGGGAGAAAAGGUGGCAAGGUUCAAGGUUUAGGUGCUUUCCCUCGCUUGGAUAUCUCGUCUUCUUCUUCUUCUUCAAUGCCAAUAAAUUCUGAGUGGAAUGAGAUGAAAGGUAAUCUACAAAAGCUUACAUCCACUGUAAGUUGCUUGGAAUCUGAAAAUGCGAAGUUGAAAUCUAUGUUGCGAGCAAUAUUUAGCAAAUUGAAUGGGAGUGACGACAUUAAUUGUGUUGCUGAUGAUAGCUCUGCUCAAGAAACUGAUGGUAUUGAAGGAAUUGAUGACUUCUCUAAUGACUAGCUUGGUAUGGAGGGUUAGAAUGCCUUGGGUUUCAUGAAAUAUUUAGGAAUUAUCUUUCUCAUAUGUAGUUAAGGAACUACUUAGUCCUGA